rnacentral:rRNA from 1 species
GAUGAACGCUGGCGGCGUGCUUAACACAUGCAAGUCGAACGAAGCACUUUAUUUGAUUUCCUUCGGGACUGAUUAUUUUGUGACUGAGUGGCGGACGGGUGGGUAACGCGUGGGUAACCUGCCUUGUACAGGGGGAUAACAGUUGGAAACGGCUGCUAAUACCGCAUAAGCGCACAGCAUCGCAUGAUGCAGUGUGAAAAACUCCGGUGGUAUAAGAUGGACCCGCGUUGGAUUAGCUAGUUGGUGAGGUAACGGCCCACCAAGGCGACGAUCCAUAGCCGACCUGAGAGGGUGACCGGCCACAGUGGGACUGAGACACGGCCCAAACUCCUACGGGAGGCAGCAGUGGGGAAUAUUGCACAAUGGGCGAAAGCCUGAUGCAGCGACGCCGCGUGAGCGAAGAAGUAUUUCGGUGUGUAAAGCUCUAUCAGCAGGGAAGAUAAUGACGGUACCUGACGAAGAAGCACCGGCUAACUACGUG